rnacentral:rRNA from 1 species
UGGGGAAUAUUGGACAAUGGGCGCAAGCCUGAUCCAGCAAUGCCGCGUGGAUGAAGAAGGUCUUCGGAUUGUAAAGUCCUUUCGGCGGGGACGAUGAUGACGGUACCCGCAGAAGAAGCCCCGGCUAACUUCGUGCCAGCAGCCGCGGUAAUACGAAGGGGGCUAGCGUUACUCGGAAUGACUGGGCGUAAAGGGCGCGUAGGCGGUUUGGACAGUUAGGCGUGAAAUUCCUGGGCUCAACCUGGGGGCUGCGCUUAAUACAUCCAGACUUGAGUGUGGAAGAGGGUCGUGGAAUUCCCAGUGUAGAGGUGAAAUUCGUAGAUAUUGGGAAGAACACCGGUGGCGAAGGCGGCGACCUGGUCCAUUACUGACGCUGAGGCGCGAAAGCGUGGGGAGCAAACA